GAAAAGUUGAGCAAAACGGAAAUGGACAAACAAACGCUCGCUCAUGAGAUGUUUACAUACACGUUUGCAGCGUUGAAGAGCGGUGCUGCUGGUGACAUUAAUAAACCGAGAACAACAUGAAUUUAAUGAGUCGUUCAGGUUGUUCCUUUAUAAAUCGUCGCGGUGGGAUCGUUUAGUUUGUCCUGCGGUUGGAAAUGUUUGUAUGGAGCGUUGGGUGUUUUGUGAUUAUGAACGCGUUGCUGUUUAUCGCGCGAGCUCUUGUAAUCAAUGCAGCAUUAUCCAUUGAUCAUCAAGAGGAAUCACAGCGCAGAAAAGAGAUCAGGCGAAGUAUCAGUUCUUCACAGCAGUACGCAGAGGACGCCAUCUCAGGCCACGCCCCCUGCACCUUAUUAGGUCAGUGGGCGGGGCAGAGAAGCAGCAGACACGCCUCACAGCGGAGCGAGACGAAGCCUUCAGCGUUUGGAGUCUCCUUCCACAAGUGCGCUCAGGUG